rnacentral:tmRNA from 1 species
GGGGGUGACCUGGUUUCGACGGGGAUUGGAAGCGAAGGUAGCAUGUCGGGGACGCCAGUUGGCCUCGUUAAAAAACUGGCACACAUACAAACGCCGACUCUGACGUUUCGUACGCACUGGCAGCCUAAGGGCCGCCACGUCUCUGGUUGCCGCGCCUGCGGGCUUCCGGUAGACGUCAUUUAGCAGGCUGGCUUUCGGGUUUGUCCAUGGCGCGAAAGUAAGACCUUAAUGGAAUCGCCGGUUGCAAGAGCCUGUCUGUGGGGGCUGCUGCCAGCUAAAUUCAAAACACAGACUACACAUGUAGACGCCUUGCGUGAAAGAUUUUCGGACGCGGGUUCGAUUCCCGCCACCUCCACCA